UACGAAGGGGGCUAGCGUUGUUCGGAAUUACUGGGCGUAAAGCGCGCGCAGGCGGUCCUUCAAGUCAGAGGUGAAAGCCCAGAGCUCAACUCUGGAACGGCCUUUGAGACUAGAGGACUUGGGUACGGGAGAGGUGAGUGGAAUUCCGAGUGUAGAGGUGAAAUUCGUAGAUAUUCGCAAGAACACCAGUGGCGAAGGCGGCUCACUGGCCCGGUACUGACGCUGAGGUGCGAAAGCGUGGGGAGCAAACAGG
rnacentral:rRNA from 1 species